GCAAAGAAGGAAGCAGCCCAGACGGAGGAAGGUCGCCAGGCUGAGGCUGCCCGCCUCAAGGAGAAGAUCGCCGAAGUCACGAGUCUCCAAGAGGCGCUUCAGAAGGAGGAACAAACCUCGACAGAUCUGAAGGUCGCCCUGUAGGAGGAAAGGAAGAAGGCAGAGGCCGAGGUCUCCAAGCUGAAGGAGCAGAUCCCGACCC
rnacentral:lncRNA from 1 species